GCCAGAGUGGUGUAGUGGUUCAAGAAUUGGGCUGUGACUCUAGAGACCAGGGUUUGAAUCCCUGCUUGGCCA